ACAAUGAAACUUCCGUAAUUCGCGGCCCGGCCAUAAAGAAGGCGGGGUGGCUGAAAGGCCAAUGA
ncrna:unclassified sequences pemK RNA